GGCUUGAGGUGGCUUCCGGCCGCCAGGCGAGACUCCGCGGGAAAACUCCCUGCUAGAGAGACUAGGAGAUUUGGGGCUGCGGCCGUUUCCUCCGGAGCACCCACGGGACUGUGUGCUGGGGUCCCUCCACCGGCUGUGUCCUUUAUUCUUCUUUCUCACCCAACGAUUUACCUGAACGGUUAUAAAGUGCACGUUAUUUCCCUAAGCACUUUGAGUAUAUUGGCCCACUGCAUUCUGGACUUCAAAAUUUCUGAUGCGAAAUAUGCUGAUACUUUUGUUGAAGAAAUCUGGGCUUUGAGCAUCUGUAAGAUAUUUGUUGGAAGGUUUUGUCUGGUCCUUCUUACUGAUGUGUUGCUCUUCUUCAUGGCUCGUGAAAACUAUUAGAGUCAUCCAAGGGUGGGAAGAGAGAUCAGCAACGUUAACUGGGUGUCAAGAAAACAUACCGAGAUUGAAGCCAUCCACUUCUGCAGGAACACCGAAAAGAAAGCUUACAAUCUGAAGGUGUCCGUUCCUACACUGGUCAGACCACUGUCCUUGGGGCAGCUGGGGUCUUUGGGACCCUCCACCGGGCUCGCCGGUCCGUCGGACUUUUGGCUGAGAUCCGUGUCAGACUCCUCCGAAUAGUCGUCUGUUGGCAUCGAGGGCUGAACCCCUGAGGUGCUGCAUGAACUUGAG
rnacentral:lncRNA from 10 species